rnacentral:rRNA from 1 species
GAGUAGGUCUCGUUGGUGACCAGCGGAGGGUCAUUACCGAGUUUACAACUCCCAAACCCCUGUGAACAUACCUUAAUGUUGCCUCGGCGGAUCAGCCCGCGCCCCGUAAAACGGGACGGCCCGCCAGAGGACCCAAACUCUAAUGUUUCUUAUUGUAACUUCUGAGUAAAACAAACAAAUAAAUCAAAACUUUCAACAACGGAUCUCUUGGUUCUGGCAUCGAUGAAGAACGCAGCAAAAUGCGAUAAGUAAUGUGAAUUGCAGAAUUCAGUGAAUCAUCGAAUCUUUGAACGCACAUUGCGCCCGCUGGUAUUCCGGCGGGCAUGCCUGUUCGAGCGUCAUUUCAACCCUCAAGCCCCCGGGUUUGGUGUUGGGGAUCGGCUCUGCCCUUCUGGGCGGUGCCGCCCCCGAAAUACAUUGGCGGUCUCGCUGCAGCCUCCAUUGCGUAGUAGCUAACACCUCGCAACUGGAACGCGGCGCGGCCAUGCCGUAAAACCCCAACUUCUGAAUGUUGACCUCGGAUCAGGUAGGAAUACCCGCUGAACUUAAGCAUAUCAAAAGCCGGGAGGAA